rnacentral:tRNA from 1 species
GCCCCAGUAGCUCAGUGGAUAGAGCACAUCUCUCCUAAAGAUGGUGUCGCAGGUUCGAUUCCUGUCUGGGGCACCA